ensembl:lncRNA
CCUAGUCCUGAUGGUGUUGUAGUCCUGAUGGUGUUGUAGUCAUGAUGGUGUUGUAGUUUUGAUGGUGUUGUAGUUCUGAUGGUUCUCUGGUGCUGAUGGUGUUGUAGUCCUGAUGGUGCUGAUGGUGCUGUAGUCCUGAUGGUGUUGUAGUCCUGAUGGUGCUGAUGGUGCUGUAGUCCUGAUGGUGUUGAUCUGAUGGUGUUGUAGUCCUGAUGGUGUUGUAGUUCUGAUGGUGUUGUAGUCCUGAUGGUGCUGAUGGUGUUGUAGUUCUGAUGGUGCUGAUGGUGUUGUAGUCCUGAUGGUGUGGUAGUCCUGAUGGUGCUGAUGGUGUUGUAGUCCUGAUGGUGUUGUAGUCCUGAUGGUGCUGAUGGUGUUGAUGGUGUUGAUGGUGUGGUAGUUCUGAUGAUGUUGUAGUUCUGAUGGUGUUGUAGUCCUGAUGGUGUUGAUGGUGUUGUAGUUCUGAUGGUGCUGAUGGUGUUGUAGUUCUGAUGGUGCUGAUGGUGUUGAUGGUGUUGUAGUUCUGAUGGUGCUGAUCUGAUGGUGUUGUAGUUCUGAUGGUGUUGUAGUCCUGAUGGUGUUGUAGUCCUGAUGGUGCUGAUGGUGUUGUAGUCCUGAUGGUGUUGUAGUCAUGAUGGUGCUGAUGGUGUUGUAGUUCUGAUGGUGUUGUAGUCCUGAUGGUGCUGAUGGUGUUGUAGUCCUGAUGGUGCUGAUGGUGUUGUAGUUCUGAUGGUGCUGAUGUCCUGAUGGUGUUGUAGUCCUGAUGGUGCUGAUGGUGUUGUAGGCCUGAUGGUUCUCUGGUGCUGAUGGUACUGUAGUCAUGAUGGUUAUCUGGGUCGUAAUGGUUCUCUGUGGUCCUGAUGGUUCUCUGGGUCGUAAUGGGAUGUGGCUCUGUGCUGAGGCAUAGUUGUGUUGUGAGGCUGCUGUGGUUGCCCUUAGAUACGGCUGUGAUCUGCUGCGGCGGCUGGUGAUUUAUCCCCUCCCUGAUGAGGUCGUGUCCUUGACCCCUUCCCCCAGGCCAGAGGAAGAGGCGGCCUUAAGAUGUGCCUGUCAAAAGCAGA